rnacentral:rRNA from 1 species
AUUGAACGCUGGCGGCAGGCCUAACACAUGCAAGUCGAACGAGUGGCGGACGGGUGAGUAAUGUCUGGGAAACAGCCCGAGGGAGGGGGAUAACUACUGGAAACGGUAGAUAAUGCCGCAUACCAUCAGAUGUGCUCAGAUGGGAUUAGCUAGGAGGGGGGGUAACGGCUCACAUAGGCGACGAUCCCUAGCUGGUCUGAGAGGAGGACCAGCCACACGGGAACUAAGACACGGUCCAGACUCCUACGGCAGCCAGCAGUGGGGAAUCUGGCACAAUGGGCGCAAGCCUGAUGCAGCCAUGCCGCGUGUAUGAAGCAGGCAUUCGGGUUGUAAAGUACUUUCAGCGAGGAGGCGUUACUCGCAGAAGAAGCACCGGCUAACUCGGUGCCAGCAGCCGCGGUAAUUC